rnacentral:rRNA from 1 species
CCCGCUGAACUUAAGCAUAUCAAUAAGCGGAGGAAAAGAAACUAACAAGGAUUCCCCUAGUAACUGCGAGUGAAGCGGGAAAAGCUCAAAUUUAAAAUCUGUCAGUCUUUGGCUGUCCGAGUUGUAAUCUAGAGGAGUGUUAUCCGCGCUGUACCGUGUACAAGUCUCCUGGAAUGGAGCGUCAUAGAGGGUGAGAAUCCCGUCUUUGACACGGACUGUCACGGCUUUUGUGAUGCGCUCUCGAAGAGUCGAGUUGUUUGGGAAUGCAGCUCAAGAUGGGUGUUAAAUUCCAUCUAAAGCUCUAUAUUGACGAGAGACCGAUAGCGAACAAGUACCGUGAGGGAAAGAUGAAAAGAACUUUGGAAAGAGAGUUAAACAGUACGUGAAAUUGCUGAAAGGGAAACGCUUGAAGUCAGUCGCGUCAUCCACGGAUCAACCUUGCUUUUGCUUGGUGUACUUUCUGGUUGACGGGUCAGCAUCAAUUUUGACCAUUGGAAAAAGAUUAAGGGAAUGUGGCAUACAUAGUGAUGUGUUAUAGCCCUUGGUUGCAUACAAUGGUUGUGAUUGAGGAACUCAGCACGCCGCAAGGCCGGGUUUUUAUUAACCACGUACGUGCUUAGGAUGUUGGCAUAAUGGCUUUAAUCGAUCCGUCUUCACAC